CCGCGAUAAUUCAGCCGUUUUGAAUUUUGUUUUUACAGGAGAGAACACUAACACUUUACCUGUGGGAAAUCAACGGGCGAACAACAAACGAUAAAGGACUUUCCUGCUUGGUCUUGUGAACACACAUUCAGAAGAAUUGGACAAAUUGAGGAGGAGUUUCUACAUCUGGAAAAGCUGUUGGAAAAAGAGGAGAUCCGGACAGCAAUGGUGUCAAAGUUGUGCAGAAUUGAAUGAAGAAAUCUCAAAGACAGUGCCAGAAGGAUGCUGGAAAGAUGCAGUGAUGACCAACUUGUACUUGAGUUGUG